UUUCUGUUGGACCCAGAACUGAGAGUUAAAACCUUUGAAAGGUUAAUAAAAUAGGUACUUGCACUCCAUUUUUCUGUAUGCUUAACAAAACACUGUUGAAAUCCUGAGAACUGUUUGCUAAUCUUGUUCCCAGAAUGUGCUGUCCCCAACUGCCAAACUGCAGAAUGCACUCCCUCACUCAGUUGCAGGCAAACUGCCCACUCGCCCUGACCCAUCAAUGAACUUCCCUCCCUGCCCUCUCCAAGAAAAGUAUAUAAGCUCUGCUUAAGCUGUUCCCAGGGCUCUAUCUCUCUUUGCUCUAGUGAGCUCUGAGCCCCAGCAUGCUGGUCCCCAAAUAAACCCUUUUGCUGUUGCAUGAGACAGUGUCUUGGUGGUCUCUUCCUCCGACGUUUCGCCGGUCCCCUAUAUUUGGUGCAUUGGCCAGGAAGUGCGCAUCGCUGGACAGGGAGACCCCAACAGACUCCUUAGGAGGUAAGUAAGGCGCCUCUUCUUCUUCUUCUUCUUCUCCUUGUUUUUCCUUUGCGAUCGCUCAGAACUUGGUUUUUGCCAGUGGAGACCGUGAGCUCUCAGAGCCUUUCUGGUUUUUCAGUUUGGGUUGGCAGAGUGUGGUUGCCAGCGGAGAGCGUGAGCUCCCCCUGGCAGUGGUGGACAGACGUGUCCUGAAGCCACAGGCCACGUUCUUCAAGGGACGCCUUGAAGGACUCUAGGAGGGACGGAAGUGCCCUCAUCUGGUGUAUUCUGCUGCCAACCCGUCUGGUCUUGCCGGCAAUUCUUUCUCUCGGGUUGAAUUCACUAUCUGUUUUUAAUCUUUGCCUCUGAACUUGUGUUACACGUUUACUGUGUGUGUCUGUGUUUGCGUCACGUUUGUAUUGUCCCUGUCUUUGUUCAAGUAACUUUCAUUAUGGGACAGAGUCAUUCCACGCCUCUGUCCCUGACCCUUGAUCACUGGACUGAAGUCCGCUUAAGGGCUCAGAAUCUUUCUUUUUCAGUAAAACGCCGGACCUGGCAGACUCUCUGUGCCUCAGAAUGGCCCGCCUUUGGAGUCGGAUGGCCUCCAGAAGGAUCUUUCUACUCCCCACUAAUUCGAAAAGUCAGAGAUAUUGUUUUUCAGCCGGGGCCACAUAGCCAUCCAGAUCAACAGCCGUAUAUCUUAACUUGGCAGGACCUCUGUGAAUCUCCUCCUCCAUGGGUGAAGCCUUUUCUUGUCCCUGUCCCCACUCCUACUCCUCCCCCCGCGAUUCUAUCUCUCAAACCCUCUGCUCCUCCUCCACCCUCUGUUCUCCCUGAGUCUCAAGAUUUGACUCUACUGGACUCUCCUCCCCCUCCUUAUCCCCUGCCCUCGUCCCCCAACCCCCAACACCCUCUAAGUGAUUCCCCUGCUGCUGACUCAGCCUCUCCACCAUUGGAGGAGGUUAAGCCGGCCCAGCACCCUCCAGAUAACUUCCCCGAGGCACACAUAACCCCUCCUCCCCUGGAGGAAGCUGGCCCGGCUAAAGGAACUCUCCGGCAGUGAAUGAUUAAAAACCCUGAAGCCCCCGUGAUACUUCCCCUCCGCCCUUAUGGGCCAAUGAUAGAGGAUGGCCAUGGUGGAGAAAUGCAAGCCUA
rnacentral:lncRNA from 1 species